GAUGAACGCUGGCGGCGUGCUUAACACAUGCAAGUCGAACGGGAAACAUUUUAUUGAAGCUUCGGCAGAUUUAGCUUGUUUCUAGUGGCGGACGGGUGAGUAACGCGUGGGUAACCUGCCUUAUACUGGGGGAUAACAGUUAGAAAUGGCUGCUAAUACCGCAUAAGCGCACGGAGCCGCAUGGCCCCGUGGGGAAAACUCCGGUGGUAUAAGAUGGACCCGCGUUGGAUUAGCCAGUUGGCAGGGCAGCGGCCUACCAAGGCGACGAUCCAUAGCCGGCCUGAGAGGGUGAACGGCCACAUUGGGACUGAGACACGGCCCAGACUCCUACGGGAGGCAGCAGUGGGGAAUAUUGCACAAUGGGGGAAACCCUGAUGCAGCGACGCCGCGUGAAGGAAGAAGUAUCUCGGUAUGUAAACUUCUAUCAGCAGGGAAGAUAAUGACGGUACCUGACUAAGAAGCCCCGGCUAACUACGUGCCAGCCGCCGCGGUAA
rnacentral:rRNA from 1 species